UACGUAGGGGGCAAGCGUUAUCCGGAUUUACUGGGCGUAAAGGGCGCGUAGACGGCUCUGCAAGUCUGGUGUGAAAGCCCGGGGCUCAACCCCGGGACUGCUUUGGAAACUGUGGAGCUAGAGUGCAGGAGAGGUAAGUGGAAUUCCUAGUGUAGCGGUGAAAUGCGUAGAUAUUAGGAGGAACACCAGUGGCGAAGGCGGCUUACUGGACUGUAACUGACGUUGAGGCUCGAAAGCGUGGGGAGCAAACAGG
rnacentral:rRNA from 1 species